UGAUUAUUGAUCAUGGCUCAAGCUGAANCGCUGGCGUGUUAAGAGCCUAACACAUGCAAGUCGAACGGCAGCACAGGAAGCUUGCUCUCUGGGUGGCGAGUGGCGGACGGGUGAGGGAAUACAUCGGAAUCUACUUUUUCGGUGGNGGGGNAUAACGUAGGCGUUAUAACUUACGCUUUUACCGCCUACGACCCUUACGGGUUAAAAGCGGGGGAUCUUUCGGGGUAACGCCUUCUGCCGGGCCNGUCAGUUGGNAAAACUUUGUCGGGCCCCCGUCNNCUUGCUUCCGCGUACAAUUUUCACGGCGUUCCUUUUUGGUCCGCUGUGGGGGUUCACACGGGGGGAGCGCCCAGCCCCUAGGGGAGGCAAGANGUAACUUCCCGNUUUGAGUCCUCUGGNGUUCCUUUGAACGAAGCGCGGACAUUGGCACUCCCUGCGCCGUGCGAUUUGGNUCACGACCUGUGACGNCCCUC
rnacentral:rRNA from 1 species